ACUCAAAGGAAUUGACGGGGACCUGCACAAGCGGUGGAGCGUGUGGUUUAAUUCGACAGCAAGCGAAGAACCUUACCCAGGCUUGACAUCUCUGGAAAGCCCUAGAAACAGGGCCGUGCCGCAAGGAACCAGAUGACAGGUGCUGCACGGUUGUCGUCAGCUCGUGCUGUGAAGUGUCCCGUUCAGUCGGUUAACGAGCGCAACCCCUAUCCUGUGUUGUAUUCUCACAGGAAACUGCCCCAGUUAAUGGGGAGGAAGGUGGGGACGACGUCAAAUCAGCGUGGCUCUUACGCCUGGGGCGACACACGCGCUACAAUGGGGAGUAACAAUGGGUUGCCAAGCCGCAAGGCGGAGCUAAUCCCACCAAACCUCCCCCCAGUUCGGAUUGAGGGCUGCAACUCGCCCCCAUGAAGUCGGAAUCGCUAGUAACGGCCGGUCAGCCAUACGGCCGUGAAUACGUUCUCAGGUCUUGCACACACCGCCCGU
rnacentral:rRNA from 1 species